rnacentral:tRNA from 1 species
UGUGUAGCGCCCCUAACGGUGCGUUUUCAGACUCAUAGUCUGAAUUAUGCGGGUGUCAGCUCCUGCCUCUCCCU